rnacentral:rRNA from 1 species
NCCAAGACUGGUUGCCCACUGAAGCUAAGCAGGGUUGAGCCUGGUCAGUACCUGGAUGGGAGACCUCUUGGGAAAACUAGGUUGCUGUUGGAA